rnacentral:rRNA from 1 species
CACGUAGGGUGCGAGCGUUGUCCGGAAUUAUUGGGCGUAAAGAGCUCGUAGGCGGUGUGUCGCGUCGGCCGUGAAAACCUGCAGCUUAGCUGUGGGCUUGCGGUCGAUACGGGCAUCACUGGAGUUCGGCAGGGGAGACUGGAAUUCCUGGUGUAGCGGUGAAAUGCGCAGAUAUCAGGAGGAACACCGGUGGCGAAGGCGGGACUCUGGGCCGAUACUGACGCUGAGGAGCGAAAGCGUGGGGAGCAAACAGG